rnacentral:misc_RNA from 1 species
CUUAUAAAGCAUCCAAAUGUUGUUCAAUUAUUUGAGGUGAUGGCAAGCAAGACAAAAAUAUACAUUGUUUUGGAAUUUGUUACUGGCGGUGAACUUUUUGAUAAAAUUGCAAGUAGAGGGAGGUUGAAAGAGGAUGAAGCAAGAAAGUAUUUUCAGCAGCUUAUCAAUGCUGUAGAUUACUGUCAUAGCAGAGGCGUGUACCAUAGAGACCUAAAGCCUGAAAAUCUGCUACUGGAUGCUAGUGGAGUUCUUAAAGUUUCAGAUUUUGGACUGAGUGCAGUAUUGUCGAAGCAAAUACGGGGGGAUGGACUGCUUCACACUGCCUGCGGAACCCCAAAUUAUGUUGCCCCU